rnacentral:rRNA from 1 species
CUAUAUACCGCCGUCGCCAGCCCACCUCUAAUGAAAGAACAACAGUGAGCUCAAUAGCCCCUCGCUAAUAAGACAGGUCAAGGUAUAGCCUAUGGGGUGGAAGAAAUGGGCUACAU